GCCUGUAGUCCCAGCUACUUGGGUGGCUGAGGUGGGAGGAUCACUUGAGCCUAGGAGUUCUGGGCUGUAGUGUGCUACGCUGAUCGGGUGUCCGCACUAAGUUCGGCAUCAAUAUGGUGACCUCCUGAAAGUGAGGGACCACGAAGUUGCCUAAGGAGGGGUGAAACUGGCUCAGGUUGGAAACGAACAGGUCAAAACUCCCAUGCUCAUCAGUAGUGGGAUCCUGCCUGUGAACAGCCACUGCACUCCAGCCUGGACGACAAAGGGAGACCCCAUCUCU
rnacentral:SRP_RNA from 1 species